rnacentral:lncRNA from 1 species
ACCCCGUCCUUUGUUGAAAACUACAACAUAUUUAUUACUGACAUUUAGGCUCUUCUCCCACCUGCUCCCCUCUUGCAAACAUUUCUGCAAAAAGUCUAUUUCAGAGACUGAGGAAUCCUCAUUUGCAUCUAAUGCUCCCCCGACCACACUCUGUGGAGGAGUGCUAGGAAAGGUUAGGGCAGGGGAGACAUGACUGAGGACCACAGAGCCAGGUGAGCACAGAGCUUCCGUCAGGAAUGCCUCAGCAGGAAGAGAGGUAAAGGAAUCAGAGGCCUGCUUUAGCACUCAGCAAAGAACUAUCCCCGUGACUGGUGACAAAGAAAACGGUUUUUAGUCUGGGACUCCAGAUCCAUGGACACAAACCAAGUCCAAAAAGUAGUCAAGUGGCUCCUGAACCGGUGAGCAUGCAAUGACACUCAUCAACCAGCCAGAAACCAGAGGCCUGGGGCAUUUCCAACUCAUCUGGGAAGGCUCACCUUCCUCUCACUGAGCACCGCUCCAGAAUAAAGUGGGUCUAAAGCACCUGCUGGAAUAAGUGGCAUUGCCUGUGAGUCUAAUAAAUAAUAGUACCCAAUAGGGAGCAAUUGUCAUUAGGGUCCAUUGGAAAGCCUGACUCAACCCAAGUAU